rnacentral:rRNA from 1 species
CAAUAGCGUAUAUUAAAGCUGUUGCGGUUAAAAAGCUCGUAGUUGGAUUUCUGUCAAGUACAACUGGUCCGCCCUCCGGGUGAGCACAUAGUUUGGUCUUGGCAUCUUGCUGGAAAUUGUUGCUGCACUUGGCUGUGUGGCGCAGUGGCCAGCACUUUCACUUUGAGGAAAUUGGAGUGUUUCAAGCAGGCACAUGCCUUUGGACACAUUAGCAUGGAAUAAUUAGAUUGGGUUUUAGCUCCAAUUUGUCGGUUUCUGGAGCUGAGGUGAGAAUUAAUGGGGAUUGUUGGGGGCAUCCGAAUUUAGCCGUCAGAGGUGAAAUUCUUGGAUCUGCUAAAGACGGACGACUGCGAAAGCGUUUGCCCAGGAUGUUUNCAUUGA